UUGCCUCCACACACCCAAACAACAGCUGAUUCCACCUCUCAUCUUACUUCCCUUUCCUCAUCAGUGAAGGAGGCAGAAGCUUGGCAGCGUAAACCCAUACACAUUCCCCAAGCCCCAAGUUCCCUCCCAGUCCAUUGUGGCAGAGAGUUUCGGCACAGUCCCACCAACUGCCGGAUUUGCUUAGAUUCUUUAUGUGAAUUUAUUUUUUUUGAAUGUACAUCUCAAAUACAGAGAGAGGGAAGAGGAUAUAUGGACAUAACAUUGAAUUCCGAGACAAAAUACCUGGUGUGGCAGCCAUGGGGACCGUGUGGCUCAGAUCUCCCUUAGCGAAAGAAUCUGCCAUUCAACUACUGGUGUGCAGGCAGCUGUCAGCCUCCAGCUACAUACAUCACCUUUGGGAUCCAUUACAGUGUCAGAGUCUUGUCAAAGCUCAGAGAGAGUUCUGUGACAACAAGAAGGCAAGAUGGAUGUUGGUUCCCUUAGGAAGACUUGAAAAGUCACAAGGGGUCACAAAAGAGCAAAAGGCAGGAUUUCAUUCGUCCAUCUGGCCAGGAGAUGAGGCCUAACAGCCUUUUGCAGGCCUUCAUUAAUUUGGGUUCCUACACGGCUGCAUGGAGGAGAGCUGCUCUGACAUCCAAGGAACAAGAAAUGAACAAUUGGGGGCGUCUGGCUGGCUCAGUUGGUAAAGUAUCAACUCUUGAUCUCGGGGUUGUGGGUUCAAGCCCCAGGUUGGAUGUAGAGAUAACUUAAAAAUAAAAAUCUUUAUUUUUAAAUAAAAAUCUUGAGAAAGAAAGAGAGAAAGAGAAAAAGAAAGGUGGGGGAGAAGGAUAAAGAAAGAAACGAUUAUAUUUGGGCCAUUUUCCUUACUUGGGUCUAUUGGUUGUAGCAGUUACUCUAACUAAUACAUGCUUCUACUUUUUCCCUCAUGAGAGUAAUUCUGUUCAGAAAGACAUUCUCAGUACACCUUUGUAGCGAGAAGGUAGGAACAACGUGCUGGGAUGGAAUGUGGUACACAGAGUUUGUAUGUUCAUAGAACAAUGGUCAAAGGUCGGGAAAUUUGUUUCCGUUUGCAGAGAUACCUUAAUACUAAAGUUUUUUGAUUUGGAGUUUUUCAAAAUUGAGUGUAGUUGACACACGAUGAGUAGUAAAGUAUUCCUAUAGUCAGUCCUCACUCUGCAGGAUCUCAUUUCUGCAUGAAAUCCCAUUUUGGAAAAAGUUGAAGAGCUCCUCUUAGAUUCAAAUAUUAAAAUGGCAUAAUUUUUUAAAAUGUGUUAUUUAUUUUUGAGAGUGCAAGCAGGAGCCAGGGGGAGCAGAGAGAGAGGGGGACAGAGGAUCUGAAGUGGGCUCUGCGCUGACAGCAGCAAGCCCAACAUGGGGCUCAAACUCACAAACCGCCAUUAGAUCAUGACCUGAGCCAAAG